UAAUCAACUUGGAAAUACUGUGGAACAGCCCAACAAAGUUAAAGUUAAAUUGUUUCAAAUUUGUAAUAACCAUUUUGAAAUUAUGGGUAAGGGCUGGACUGUCCCUGGUUUUCGGUUUAGAAAUCUGUUCACUCUAAUUAAGGAAAUGUUGGAAAGAAAGGAAAAUGCUUAUUUUGGUUGUAUUCCAGAAAUAUACAGAGAAUUGGCAUGAAUCAUGUGAACUGUGCUGUGAGCAGAAGCUUUCUUUGGAGGAAGGAACGUGGGGAAACUACAGUUGUACCGUUUUUGAGCUCUACUUGGUGUCCUCACGCGUUUGUCAUUAACCGAACAACUCGUUCCGUAUUUAAAUUUCCUGUUCAUAACGAAACCGACCAAGACCACGGUUAACAUCGUAGUAAAACUAAGUUAAAAGUGCCCAAUUUGCGAAUUAAUAAAUAACAAUUGAGUUAGCGAAAAUAACAUGUGUCGUAACUAGUAAAUUAACGAAAGCACUUAAACUUUAAGUAUAAUAAACAAAUCUUGUUUUGUAACUUACGAUACUGUUAAGCUUAAAGGCAAUAAAUAAAGAUGGAUCCAGAAAUAGAUAGAUACAUCACUACUAUGGUAAAUGAAAACUGUGUGGUUUUGUUUUCCAAAUCUACGUGUCCACAUUGUGUGUCAGCCAAGAAAGUUCCACGUGUGUUCAUUAGUGGGCAGUGCAUUGGAGGUGCUACAGAAACCAAAAAGUUGCACAAAGAGGGAAUACUACAAGGUUAUGUACGGAACUAUCGGAAGUCAGUAUCUACAAGCUGGGGACAUCAUUUUAAAAAUAGGAGAUCGUAGUACCACCAAACUAACUGUGAGAGAAGCAGAAGAAUUUAUUCUCAUGGCUGGUAAUAGCCUUGAUCUUCUCGUACGGAAAAAAUCCUCUAAAAUCGCGUACUCGGCAGUUUCGUUUCCUGCAACGCCUGCUCUAAGGAGUACGAACUUAAAUUCGUUUUAUAGUUUCUUGAAUGAAACGUCAAACUCCCAACGAAGUUCGACAUUGAGAAGUACACCCUCAGCUACGGGAUCUUCAGGAACCUACUGGACUCAACAAUUACCAGAUGCCGGAGAACCACAAAGGGGACCACGAAACUGGGGACAACAGUGUUCAAACUUGUCUUCACUAUCACUAGUUUCACCAGAAAAGAAUAUUUCAAUUCCUCUUGAUCCAUCUAGUCAAAAUAAUUUUCCCUUGAAGAAUAAUUAUCCAAAUUCAUCAUGGCCUAUCCCACCUUCUCCUCAAUCAUCUCUUCUGGCACCAGGAACCGGGAGAAUACAUAGCUGGCGAGAUAAACAGAAGGCUCUUCUGCUACCAGAAACCAGGGGAAUACAAAGCUGGGGAGAUAAACAGAAUAUAGCCAAGAAAGACUACGAAACUGGUGUUUCUCGUGUCAUCCAACGACAGGUAUACAGAUCAGAUGAAAAUAUUGAUCGACGGUAUAGCAAUGUACCUCUACAGUUACGCGGAUCAUUAAAUAAAGAUAAAAAUCCUUUUACUUACACUCCUCUGGGAAUCAACUUAACAGAGAUUAAGUCAACUCGAUUGACUAAUAGGAUUAUUAAAAACCAGCAAGACCCUGUGGUAGCUGCUUGGUUUAAGCCUCAGAGAGGAUCUCGCCAGUUCGUUCAGGAUGAGGUUCCGCUCCCAUCAGUAGCUACAAGACAACCAGUGUUAUCAGCCACAGAGAAACAUCCAGCGCUAACAUCACUGUCGUAUCUCGUGGGGUCGAAAGUGAACCCCCAAACACAAAAAAUUACAAUUCCAUCCUACAACUCACCGCUGGGAUUGCUUUCCACAGAAAACACUCUAAAUGAUUACGAAUCACAGGCAGAAGACACUAUCAGACAAUUAGAAUGGCUACUUCUAGCAAAUAACAACCAGGACCCGCGUCCUUAUAAAUCCCAAGAACACAAUCCCAUGCGUACCCAUGGUGCCUGCCACGAUAUAGAUUUCCAGGAUUCCAGAAACUUUGGCCAGUCACAUGUUCUUCAAAGGCUUAUAUAUACUGAUGACAACAAGCGAAAUGAAGAAUCUUCCAUUCCAACGAAUCUAAAGGAACAUGAGAUGAGAGUCAGUGGUGUGAAGAGGGAGAGAAUACCGUCACGAGCUUUCCAAAAUUUCACACGAAGUACAGAGUCUGAAUCUGAAACUACGCCCUCUGAUGAUCAUUACGACAAUUCCGAACAGUUCGACAAAAUUGCAAUCGAACCUCGUUACAAAGGAGGAAACAUACCGUCACAUGCUUUCAAAAUUUUACAAGAGAUGACAGGGACCAGCGAAGGAGAAGGAGAGUCCUUACAGACUACGUUUCAGCCGAAUAGAACAUAUAAAACUCAAGACCACGAAUUUGAAUUCCAAAAGCCUCAUGUAAAACCCAAACCGGAAGUACCUGCAUCGCAACUUCCAAGUGAACCAGAACCGAAAAAAUACACUGGAGGGAAAAUUCCGUCUCGAUCUUUCCGAUUACUUCAGACUCUGACUGGAGAGAAUCCUGGGUACGAAGGCACUGACUUUUAGGUUUCCCAGGUCACAGGGGUUGUGGUCCAAGUGUGGAGUUCAUCAGGACUGUCACAAUGGACGUAGUAGUACAAAUGUGAAGUUUAUAAGGAUUGUCGCAGACUUCCAAGAUGGGGAGUCAGUUUAUGGAUUGUUGGGAGAUUUCUAAAAGCUCACUUACGGAAAGCUGAGACACACGAGUCCUAGAAGGAUGUUAAAGAGAAGUGGAAAAGGUGCUAAUGUAAUGUCA
rnacentral:misc_RNA from 1 species